rnacentral:rRNA from 1 species
UUUCCAGAGAUGGAUUGGUGCCUUCGGGAACCGUGAGACAGGUGCUGCAUGGCUGUCGUCAGCUCGUGUUGUGAAAUGUUGGGUUAAGUCCCGCAACGAGCGCAACCCUUAUCCUUUGUUGCCAGCGAUUCGGUCGGGAACUCAAAGGAGACUGCCAGUGAUAAACUGGAGGAAGGUGGGGAUGACGUCAAGUCAUCAUGGCCCUUACGACCAGGGCUACACACGUGCUACAAUGGCGCAUACAAAGAGAAGCGACCUCGCGAGAGCAAGCGGAUCUCAUAAAGUGCGUCGUAGUCCGGAUUGGAGUCUGCAACUCGACUCCAUGAAGUCGGAAUCGCUAGUAAUCGUGGAUCAGAAUGCCACGGUGAAUACGUUCCCGGGCCUUGUACACACCGCCCGUCACACCAUGGGAGUGGGUUGCAAAAGAAGUAGGUAGCUUAACCUUCGGGAGGGCGCUUACCACUUUGUGAUUCAUGACUGGGGUGAAGUCGUAACAAGGUAACCGUAGGGGAACCUGCGGUUGGAUCACCUCCUUA